rnacentral:misc_RNA from 1 species
AGACUCAAUCCCUCGGGUUUCCGAGGAGAUUGGACUUGGGUGUUGCCGCCCUGCCGGCUCGUCUUAAAAGACUUAGCGGGAUAGCACCGUAGUCGGCGUAAUAAGUUUCGUCGGUGAAGGUUGUGAUGACUGCUUACAAUCGCCCACGGGCAAUUUUUGA